GGCCUGGCCACCUCUGUUGACAUGGGUAGAUCAUCAUCAUAACAGCUCCCAGUGAAUCAAUGCCUCCCUGCAUCCACACCCCUUUGUAACAUGAUAUUGUUGCUCUUCCCAUCAAGAAAUGGUCUCUUUUGGCCGGGCACAGUAGCUCACGUCAUCCCAGCACUUUGGGAGGCUGAGGCAGGCAGAUGGCUUGAGGUGAAUAUACAGUAAAUUCUGCAUGUAAUUUUUAUCUCCUUCCAUCAAGUGUAACAAUAUGUUGAAUUUGCCAUGGGCCUUUAAAGCUUCAAUGUUGUGAAGAGCUCUGCAUGAAAUUUUAAAGAGACUGGACCUUUCAUCUGCACAACAGCAGGGCACCUCGCUAUAGGGACAAGAAAGGAAGAGAGAGAGAGAACAUUUCUGAAGUAAUAGUGAAAAAUAACAGCAGAAGCAAUUAUUUCAUCAAAGGAUUGCAGGGAGAGGCUCCUCCGUGCUCCUGAGAGGCCGAACACAGGGUCGCCAGCACAGCUUACUGCUCGGUGUCUCCUGAGCCACAGAGGAAGACGUGGCAGGAGCACCUGGUGCUAAUAUAUAUUCAUGUCUAUGGCAAUGCCGACCAUCUGGCUGGUCUGAACCAGGAUAAAAGUGAAGAAUUCCUCUGUGAAGACCCAGCUCUUUCUUUGGCUCCUUUUUUGAAGCCAUCUUUGCUCUGCUCUCCUCUGCUGCCCAGGUAUGUGCAGUAUAAACAAGUUACACACAUAUCGCAUAAAUCCAUGCUUGUGAAAAAUCCAAAUAAUGCAUAAGCAUAUAAAAAUUAUUGUCUUCCUUUACUCUCCCAAUGGCCCUCAACCCGUCCUAUUUACUAAUCAUUAUUAAUAAUACAAAUACAUAAUUAGUAAAUUAGUAUUAUUUUGGUGUGUAUCAUUCUAGCCUUUUUCUAUGCAUUUAUAUACUUCUUUUAAAAAAUGGUAUUACACUAUGCACACUUUUUGGAAAGUUCCAGAGUGAAGCUCAGCUCUAGAUGAACAAAAACUGGUUGAGUCCAGAGAUGCCUGAGUUGGAGAUGAACCUUGCAAACUUUCCUCAUUACCAUACUAAAAACCCCACCCAGGAAGGAGCUUAUCUGCCAUUUCCUACACAUGUGACAUAUGGAGAAGCAUGAUCAGCUACUUCACAGUCUCUGCCUUUACUCUGCCUCCGCAUACAAUGGCUCAGCCAACUAGCCUAACGAAAGCUGUUUUCACCAUUGUUUGGGAGGUACUGCUUUGGGAAACUGCCCCAGCUGUCCUCCUUACUUGUUGUAGGUAAUAAAAUCCCUUUGUUAAAUCUUCCUUGGUUGUGGUCUUUGGACUGUCACCCACCAAGUGAUAAAACCCACCCAUUGUGUGGGUAACAAUAUUAUCUAAAAUUCAAUAUGUAAAUGCUGGAGAAAGGAAGUAUCAG
rnacentral:lncRNA from 1 species